UGGGGAAUAUUGGACAAUGGGCGCAAGCCUGAUCCAGCAAUACCGCGUGUGUGAUGACGGCCUUCGGGUUGUAAAGCACUUUCAGUAGUGAAGAAAUACGUUGAGUUAAUAGCUCAACGGGCUGACGUUAACUACAAAAGAAGCACCGGCUAACUCUGUGCCAGCAGCCGCGGUAAUACAGAGGGUGCGAGCGUUAAUCGGAAUUACUGGGCGUAAAGAGCGCGUAGGCGAUUGUUUAAGUCAGAUGUGAAAUCCUCGGGCUCAACCUGAGAACUGCAUUUGAUACUGGACAGAUAGAGUAUGGUAGAGGGAAGUGGAAUUUCCGGUGUAGCGGUGGAAUGCAUAGAUAUCGGAAGGAACACCAGUGGCGAAGGCGGCUUCCUGGACCAAUACUGACGCUAAAGCGCGAAAGCGUGGGUAGCAAACAGG
rnacentral:rRNA from 1 species